rnacentral:rRNA from 1 species
CCGAAUGGGGAAACCCAGUGUGAUUCGUCACACUAUCAUUAACUGAAUCCAUAGGUUAAUGAGGCGAACCGGGGGAACUGAAACAUCUAAGUACCCCGAGGAAAAGAAAUCAACCGAGAUUCCCCCAGUAGCGGCGAGCGAACGGGGAGGAGCCCAGAGCCUGAAUCAGCAUGUGUGUUAGUGGAAGCGUCUGGAAAGGCGCGCGAUACAGGGUGACAGCCCCGUACACAAAAGCGCAUGUGCUGUGAGCUCGAUGAGUAGGGCGGGACACGUGGUAUCCUGUCUGAAUAUGGGGGGACCAUCCUCCAAGGCUAAAUACUCCUGACUGACCGAUAGUGAACCAGUACCGUGAGGGAAAGGCGAAAAGAACCCCGGCGAGGGGAGUGAAAAAGAACCUGAAACCGUGUACGUACAAGCAGUGGGAGCNNNNNNNNNNNNNNNNNNNNNNNNNNNNNNNNNNNNNGGGCGUUAAGUUGCAGGGUAUAGACCCGAAACCCGGUGAUCUAGCCAUGGGCAGGUUGAAGGUUGGGUAACACUAACUGGAGGACCGAACCGACUAAUGUUGAAAAAUUAGCGGAUGACCUGUGGCUGGGGGUGAAAGGCCAAUCAAACCGGGAGAUAGCUGGUUCUCCCCGAAAGCUAUUUAGGUAGCGCCUCGUGAAUUCAUCUCCGGGGGUAGAGCACUGUUUCGGCUAGGGGGCCAUCCCGGCUUACCAACCCGAUGCAAACUGCGAAUACCGGAGAAUGUUAUCACGGGAGACACACGGCGGGUGCUAACGUCCGUCGUGAAGAGGGAAACAACCCAGACCGCCAGCUAAGGUCCCAAAGUCAUGGUUAAGUGGGAAACGAUGUGGGAAGGCCCAGACAGCCAGGAUGUUGGCUUAGAAGCAGCCAUCAUUUAAAGAAAGCGUAAUAGCUCACUGGUCGAGUCGGCCUGCGCGGAAGAUGUAACGGGGCUAAACCAUGCACCGAAGCUGCGGCAGCGANNNNNNNNNNNNNNNNNNNGCUGGAGGUAUCAGAAGUGCGAAUGCUGACAUAAGUAACGAUAAAGCGGGUGAAAAGCCCGCUCGCCGGAAGACCAAGGGUUCCUGUCCAACGUUAAUCGGGGCAGGGUGAGUCGACCCCUAAGGCGAGGCCGAAAGGCGUAGUCGAUGGGAAACGGGUUAAUAUUCCCGUACUUGGUGUUACUGCGAAGGGGGGACGGAGAAGGCUAUGUUGGCCGGGCGACGGUUGUCCCGGUUUAAGCGUGUAGGUGUGUGUUCCAGGUAAAUCCGGUUCACUUUAACACUGAGGCGUGACGACGAGGCACUACGGUGCUGAAGCAACAAAUGCCCUGCUUCCAGGAAAAGCCUCUAAGCAUCAGGUAACAUCAAAUCGUACCCCAAACCGACACAGGUGGUCAGGUAGAGAAUACCAAGGCGCUUGAGAGAACUCGGGUGAAGGAACUAGGCAAAAUGGUGCCGUAACUUCGGGAGAAGGCACGCUGACACGUAGGUGAAGUGAUUUACUCAUGGAGCUGAAGUCAGUCGAAGAUACCAGCUGGCUGCAACUGUUUAUUAAAAACACAGCACUGUGCAAACACGAAAGUGGACGUAUACGGUGUGACGCCUGCCCGGUGCCGGAAGGUUAAUUGAUGGGGUCAGCGCAAGCGAAGCUCCUGAUCGAAGCCCCGGUAAACGGCGGCCGUAACUAUAACGGUCCUAAGGUAGCGAAAUUCCUUGUCGGGUAAGUUCCGACCUGCACGAAUGGCGUAAUGAUGGCCAGGCUGUCUCCACCCGAGACUCAGUGAAAUUGAACUCGCUGUGAAGAUGCAGUGUACCCGCGGCAAGACGGAAAGACCCCGUGAACCUUUACUAUAGCUUGACACUGAACAUUGAGCCUUGAUGUGUAGGAUAGGUGGGAGGCUUUGAAGUGUGGACGCCAGUCUGCAUGGAGCCGACCUUGAAAUACCACCCUUUAAUGUUUGAUGUUCUAACGUGGACCCGUAAUCCGGGUUGCGGACAGUGUCUGGUGGGUAGUUUGACUGGGGCGGUCUCCUCCUAAAGAGUAACGGAGGAGCACGAAGGUUGGCUAAUCCUGGUCGGACAUCAGGAGGUUAGUGCAAUGGCAUAAGCCAGCUUGACUGCGAGCGUGACGGCGCGAGCAGGUGCGAAAGCAGGUCAUAGUGAUCCGGUGGUUCUGAAUGGAAGGGCCAUCGCUCAACGGAUAAAAGGUACUCCGGGGAUAACAGGCUGAUACCGCCCAAGAGUUCAUAUCGACGGCGGUGUUUGGCACCUCGAUGUCGGCUCAUCACAUCCUGGGGCUGAAGUAGGUCCCAAGGGUAUGGCUGUUCGCCAUUUAAAGUGGUACGCGAGCUGGGUUUAGAACGUCGUGAGACAGUUCGGUCCCUAUCUGCCGUGGGCGCUGGAGAACUGAGGGGGGCUGCUCCUAGUACGAGAGGACCGGAGUGGACGCAUCACUGGUGUUCGGGUUGUCAUGCCAAUGGCACUGCCCGGUAGCUAAAUGCGGAAGAGAUAAGUGCUGAAAGCAUCUAAGCACGAAACUUGCCCCGAGAUGAGUUCUCCCUGAGACUUAGAGUCUCCUGAAGGAACGUUGAAGACGACGACGUUGAUAGGCCGGGUGUGUAAGCGCAGCGAUGCG